CCCUUAGAUGUUCUGGGCCGCACGCGCGCUACACUGACGAAUGCAACGAGCUUAUAACCUUGGCCGAAAGGUCUGGGUAAUCUCCAAAUUUCGUCGUGAUGGGGAUAGAUUAUUGCAAUUAUUAAUCUUCAACGAGGAAUGCCUAGUAAGCGCAAGUCAUCAGCUUGCGUUGAUUACGUCCUUGCCCUUUGUACACACCGCCCGUCGCUCCUACCGAUUGAAUGGUCCGGUGAAGCGUUCGGACCGUGGCCUUUGGACGGUUCGCCGUCUGUUGGCUGCGGGAAGUUCGUUAAACCUUAUCAUUUAGAGGAAGGAGAAGUCGUAACA
rnacentral:rRNA from 1 species